rnacentral:rRNA from 1 species
UACGGGGGGAGCAAGCGUUGUUCGGAUUUACUGGGCGUAACGGGCGCGUAGGCGGUCAGCACAAGUCAUUUGUGAAAUCUCCGAGCUUAACUCGGAAAGGUCAACUGAAACUGUGCGACUAGAGUGCGGAAGGGGCAACUGGAAUUCUUGGUGUAGCGGUGAAAUGCGUAGAUAUCAAGAGGAACACCUGCGGCGAAGGCGGGUUGCUGGGCCGACACUGACGCUGAAGCGCGAAAGCCAGGGGAGCGAACGGG